UUGCAUUAUCAGAAGUUUGGCUUGUAUUUCUGACUGGUACUUCCUGAACUGAAUGCUUAAAAAUUCCUUCCUUAGGUAUGAAUGAUGUGCCUCAUCCAUGUAAAUAAGAAAAAGAAAAGAAUUUUGCUACUUAUAAACUAUUUAUUUUGAGUUCCUUCAAGGAAGCCAUGUAGAAGCAGCACAGAAAAAGCAGAGUCCUUGGCAAUCCCAGC